rnacentral:tRNA from 1 species
UAGAAUAUAGUUUAACCAGUAAAACUAAGAAAUUUGAAUUCUUUAAUACAAGUGCAACCCUUGUUUUUCUAA